rnacentral:lncRNA from 1 species
AAGUUAGUCCUUUGGCCAGAGAAAUGUUAUUUUGAGCUCACCAUAUAGGAAGGAGACGCAACCACCCUGAGUGAGGCAGCUGGCAGUGGUCCUGUGCUCCAGAAGUCCCACAUUUGACUGUGCUGACCACACACAUUUUUUCAGUUAUCAGGAGGAAAUUCACUUAGUGUUACUUCAGCCAAGAAGAGGAACCCCAGAAGAAGCUUUAGGAGGACUCUUCAGAAGCUUGAGAUCAUCUGCUAUGGGAAUCAGCAUCAUGGAUGCAUGGACUCAGGGAUAAACUCAGACCAAGAAGAGUGAGGAAGACCCAAGAUAUCUCGGUAAAGGAAACAUUUCUGCCAUGUCCAGUCUUGGCUUCAUG